rnacentral:tRNA from 1 species
GGGAUGGUAGCUCACUGGUAGAGCGCUUGCCUAGCAUGUACCAUGAGGCCCUGGGUUUGAUACCCAGCAUUUCA